rnacentral:rRNA from 1 species
UGGGGAAUCUUGGGCAAUGGGCGAAAGCCUGACCCAGCCACGCCGCGUGGAGGAAGACACCCCUAUGGGGCGUAAACUCCUUUUGUGUGAGAAGAAAUCUCCUUUUGGGAGGCUGACGGUAUCACACGAAUAAGCACCGGCUAACUCCGUGCCAGCAGCCGCGGUAAUACGGAGGGUGCAAGCGUUGUCCGGAUUUAUUGGGUUUAAAGGGUACGUAGGCGGGCUGUUAAGUCUGAGGUGAAAGCUCCUGGCUCAACCAGGAAAUUGCCUUGGAUACUGGCAGUCUUGAGUACAGUAGAGGUGGGCGGAAUUCAUGGUGUAGCGGUGAAAUGCAUAGAUACCAUGAGGAACACCGAUAGGGAAGCCAGCUCACUGGACUGUUACUGACGCUGAGGUACGAAAGCGUGGGGAGCGAACAGGAGUAGAUACCCGCGUAGUCC